AGAUAUGCGAUGAAGCGGGAGGUUGCGACCAUAGGGUCGGUUUUUCCGUGGAGUAUGUCCGAUUUUUAAACCGGGCGA
rfam:Clostridium sp. CAG:352 genomic scaffold, scf141